GCCGCCCUCUCUCCCCCUCUGUGCUCUCUCCCUCCCCGCCGCCGCCUCUCCUCCCCUUCUCCCUCUCCGCUCGCCUCCGUUGCCCCUCCCCGGCGGUGCUCCUCCUGCUCUCCGCCGCCGUCGCCCGCUCCCAGUCGGAGGGAGAGGAGGCGGUCUGUGCGAGAUCCGCGACGGCCUGGCAGUCUGGGAGCCGCGCGGCCCCUCGCCGCGGCCACCGCCGUGCUCUACAUCCGUCUCUACAGCCCCCGCAUUCGUGCGUCCCUUCGCGCGGUGCUUGCGCCCAAGCGCCGCCCACGCAUCGAAGCCGGCUUCAGCGGUGUCGAGGAGCCGCUCAUGUCUUGGAUCUACCUACAGUCCUUGCCUGCCGUCGUCGGGCCAGUCGCCGCCUUCCUGUGGGAGCUAUCCCUCGGCUCCGCAGAGAUCCGCGAGUGGCCGCGCCCUCCCGUCCCUGCGCCGUUCCCUGUAGCCGCCGCCGCAGCCUCCUGGUGGCCGCUGCUCGAGGACCCGCGCAUCCUCGACUCCCAUUUCAUGAUAGAAGACAUCCGCCUGUCGCGCCUCAAGAGGCUCGCCAUGCUCGGCGCUGGGAGGAGCGAGGCGGCGACCCGUGCCUAGCUUGCGGGAGUCGCGGCGGCUGGUACGGGGGAGCGGUGGCAGGCGUGCAGGAGCCGCGGCGUCCGGUGCGGGAAGCUCCAAGGGGUGCGUCGCAAGGUUGAAGGGAAGUGGAAGUUGGCUCCAAGAUCCGUGGCGUGUGGCCAAUAUCCAUGGCGGCGGCGGCAGUGCAGAUCGAGCUGCAGCACAGCGAGCCAGGAACUCCCACCGCUGCUGGUUCCUUGACCCCAUUAUAAAUGGACGGUACCCAUACUCGAUGCAAGAGAUUGUCGAGGAUAGGCUGCCAUUGUUCAGCGAUGAAGAGUCCAGGAUGGUGAAAUGCUCCAUAGACUACGUUGGCAUCAACCACUACACUUCUUACUAUAUGAAGGACCCUGGGACAUGGAACCUGAUGCCAGUCAGCUACCAGGAUGAUGGGCAUGUUGGUUUUGUCUAUGAAAGAAACGGUGUUCCUAUUGCCGCUCAUGUACGUGUACUGCUAGAUGCCUACAAAUAUCAAAGGCAGGGAGGACUGAAAGUUGGUUUUGCCUCUGAUUAUGUAACUGUGAAUUCUUUGAUUGUGCAGGCAAACUCCUACUGGUUGUACAUUGUACCGUGGGGAAUCAACAAGGUUUCUCUAAAAAUUUUCCUUUAUUUGGUUUCGGUUACUAUUUCAUUUCAUCAUGUCUCAUUUCAUAUUGUUCCCAAUAAUUCAUUAGAGUCAAUGCAUGUGGUUUUUGAAUUCAGGUUGUAAAGGUUGACUAAAUCUGAGUUUUUACAAGGAAAGUUACAUGACAAUGUUCUUAAAUAUUGUGGCAAAGUAGAGUUGCAAACUGCAACCGAAGUCUGAGGAAAUUAAGUUGGGAUGAUUCAUUUGCUUCCAAAAGUUCUUUCAGAUGGUAGAGGAUUCUUUUUUCCUGAAUAUUGAUAUUCUCUAACUGUAAUUGUUCUGUGAGUUCUGAAAUGAAACUUCACGGCACAGCCCAAAUGCAAUAUUUUCUUCUUUGAACUUGUGCAUUUGCUUGAUUCGGAACAACUACAGAAAUAGUAUAGAGCCAAAAUUACCAUGCUUCUUCUAGGUGAUGAGCAAUUCAACACAGUUAGUGCAGGCCUUCUGAGUGGUGCUCCAAUGCUUGAGCUCCAUUUUUUGAAAAAUAUUAUCAUAAGAUGAUAGCAGCAUUUGAUUUUGUGCGUUUGUUAAUGAAGUAGGUUCACGUAAGAAGAUUCAUGUAUCCUUUUCUUUUUGUUCUUUAAUUCUUUUAGAUGGUACCAUCAAGUUUCUUUCAUUUUGUUAUUGCUGGUGGUGUAUGUUUCUUUUUCACAAGUAGAAUGUUGAUGCCCAGUUCAACAAAUUUCAGUAUAGAAUGCCAAUUUGUUUUGGCUAUUGGAGAGGUUUCGUUUUCUGUCUGCAAAAUAGAAUGAUCAUUUUAUUUCAGUAAGUACAUUCUUCAAACAAUAGCCACACCUAACAAUAUAGAAGGUGAUAACACCGUAGCACGCUUUCUCAUAGCAGUUUCUUCACUGUUUCUAACAUAUGCCAUUUUGCUUUGACAAAUGCUUUCUGCUUCUUUUUCUGGCAACCUAGAGGCUCCUACUUUUGGAUGGAUUAUUCAUGCCUGCUUUAACACUCAGUCAGGUUUGUCUUACAGUUUUUUGUUCCUUCAUUUUACGGCUACUUGAAAGCACUUCUUUCUACUUCCGUUCAAUUUCAGUCAUUCCAAAUCCUGCAAAAUCGUGACAAACAACACUGGGCAACUGCAUGGUUGAUUUGGUUUUUAAUUUUGCUUCAAAUUUUAUAUACAGUGUCUUUAGUCAGCCUUACUGGACCAACCUUUCUUUAGUAGCAUGUUUUAACAAGCAAAACUGAAGAUACAUGUGGUCGUUGGAUACAAAAAUAUAAGUGUAUUAUUUUGUUAAUAUUAUAAGAAUACUGCUACUUUUUUAAAAUUAAGAACCCGUGAUCAGGCAUGUUCAUGGAAAAAAAUAUGAACCAUUGAAACAAAUUCAUUAGUUUAAGUAACCUUUAAUUAACCCCUAAACAAAUUUGUUGGUUUAAAUAACAUAUCAAAUGCAUCUCUAACUUGCUCUUUGAUUAUUAGAUGAUUAAUAUUAAAGCAGGGUAAAAUGUCACAACGGAAGGUGAAGGCUCUUUGUGAAGAUUCGCUCUGUUGAUGGACAAUGAAGCUACCUCUUGCUGCUAUUUAAGAACAAAUCUAUGAAUCUGUUAUAAUUUAGUACUUCUAUCAUGAAUGUUUGUAACAUGUUGGAUCGUCUUGGCUUUGAAUUUCAUGCUGUCUAGAUCAUUCAUGUCUGGAACUGUAGUUAUUUGCAUAUUUACAUAUCUUGGUUAAUUUAGUGUUUUCAAGUCAUGUGAUUACAUAA